CCUACGGGAGGCAGCAGUGGGGAAUAUUGGACAAUGGGCGAAAGCCUGAUCCAGCAAUUCCGCGUGUGUGAAGAAGGCCUUCGGGUUGUAAAGCACUUUAGUGGGGGAAGAAACAGCUUGGCCACACCAAGCCUUGACGGUACCCCAAGAAUAAGCACCGGCUAACUCUGUGCCAGCAGCCGCGGUAAUACAGAGGGUGCAAGCGUUAAUCGGAUUUACUGGGCGUAAAGGGUGCGUAGGUGGCUAUUUAAGUCGGAUGUGAAAGCCCGGGGCUCAACCUCGGAAUUGCAUUCGAUACUGAGUGGCUAGAGUUCGGUAGAGGGCGGCGGAAUUUCCGGUGUAGCGGUGAAAUGCGUAGAUAUCGGAAGGAACAUCAAUGGCGAAGGCAGCCGCCUGGGCCUGGACUGACACUGAGGCACGAAAGCGUGGGUAGCAAACAGGAUUAGAUACCCUGGUAGUCCACGCCGUAAACGAUGAGAACUUGACGUUGGUUCGUUUUACGAAUCGGUGUCGCNGNUACGACGAUAGUCUCCGUCCGUCGGGUAGGUACGGCCGCGAGUAGAACGUACGUAAAGGUAAGUAGUUAGGCGUGAGAGUGCGACGGCGACGACGAGGGAGGAGG
rnacentral:rRNA from 1 species